rnacentral:lncRNA from 1 species
AUGGAUGGCGCGGGCGGAGUCGUGCACGCGCAACUUGUCAACGUGGCUAGGGAUGAGUCGCCGGUGUGUCAGGCGCUCGAGGCGGCGGGUGGUGCGGGUUGGGAUGGGAUGGAUGGGUGCCCGACUGACUGUGAAUGCCGCUCCUUCACUGGCAACGUGACAACUAGCUACUUGCCCUUCUUGGUAGUCUUGCCAGCUUCCGCCUCCACAGCCAGAGAGAGAGGAGAGAAGGGCUCGACAAAGCUAGGGCUACUAGGUGGAAUGAGCGUUGUCCUCAGCAGAAGAUAAGGUGCAUAUC